rnacentral:rRNA from 1 species
CUGAACGGUGAAGCCGCGAAUGGCUCAUUAUAACAGCCAUUGUUCGCAAGAACUGAUAUCCACUUGGACAACUGUGGAAAUUCUAGAGCUAAUACAUGCCUCGAAGCUUGGGCGCCCAGUGCGUCGGAGCGCAUUUAUUAGUCCAAAACCAAUCGGGCGUGGGACAUUGUCUUCGCGUCCGCCAAAGAUUGGUGAAUCGGAAUAACUAUGCUGAUCGCACGGUCCAGCACCGGCGACGAAUCUUUGAAAUGACUUGCUCAUCAACUUUCGAUGGUACGCUACGUGCUUACCAUGGUGACAACGGUUAACGGAGAAUCAGGGUUCGACUCCGGAGAGGGAGCCUGAGAAACGGCUACCACAUCCAAGGAAGGCAGCAGGCACGCAAAUUACCCACUCCCGGAUCGGGGAGGUAGUGACGAAAAAUAACGGAACGUAUCUCCCUGAGACGCGUUACCGGAACGACCGAGCCGUACACAAGCUCGGCUAAAUCUAUUGGAGGGCAAGUCUGGUGCCAGCAGCCGCGGUAAUUCCAGCUCCAAUAGCGUAUAUUAAAGUUGCUGCGGUUAAACCGCUCGUAGUUGGAUUGCGGUCGACGACGACGGUCGUCCUAAGCAGGAGUCGUUCCGUCGCUCGUCACCUGUUCAAUCAAGAUUGCCUUGGAUGCUCUUGAUCGGGUGUCCUUGGUAACUUGAAAGUUUACUUUGAGAAAAUGGAAGCGCUCAAGGCAGGCCGGAGAGCUUGAACAGUGGUGCAUGGAAAUAAUGAAAGAUGGCCUUGGUGCUACUUUGUUGGUUUGCGGUGUCAAGGCAAUGAUUAAAAGAGACAGACGGGGACAUUCGUAUUGCUGCGUUAGAGGUGAAAUUCUUGGAUCGCAGCAAGACGAGCAAUUGCGAAAGCAUUUGUCAAGAAUGUUUUCAUUAAUCAAGAACGAAAGUUAGAGGUUCGAAGGCGAUCAGAUACCGCCCUAGUUGUGACCGUAAACGAUGCCAACCAGCGAUUCGGCGACGUUCUUCCUAUGACUCGCUGAGCAGCUUCCGGGAAACCAAAGUUUUUCGGUUCCGGGGGAAGUAUGGUUGCAAAGCUGAAACUUAAAGGAAUUGACGGAAGGGCACCACCAGGAGUGGAGCAUGCGGCUUAAUUUGACUCAACACGGGAAAACUCACCCGUCCCGAACACUGCGAGGAUUGACAGAUCAAGAGCUCUUUCUUGAUUCAGUGGGUAGUGGUGCAUGGCCGUUCUUAGUUGGUGGAGCGAUUUGUCUGGCUAAUUCCGAUAACGAACGAGACUCUGGCCUACUAACUAGCGGCGGUAUUCAUGCCUCCUGCGAAGCCGCGCAGGCAUUGCGCGCGCUAGCCAGGGCACCAGUGCCGGCAGCCGCUUCUUAGAGGGACCAGCGACACUUUCGCAAGCCGCACGAGAAAGAGCAAUAACAGGUCUGUGAUGCCCUUAGAUGUACGGGGCUGCACGCGUGCUACACUGACGGCGACAGCGUGCGUUCAAGCCCGGCCUGGCAAGGUCGGGAAAUCGGUUGAAACGUUCUCGUGACUGGGACAGGGAAUUGCAAUUAUUUCCCUCGAACGAGGAAUUCCCAGUAAGCGCGAGUCAUCAGCUUGCGUUGACUACGUCCCUGCCCUUUGUACACACCGCCCGUCGCUACUACCGAUUGGAUGACUUAGUGAGGCCUUUGGACCGAUGCCGCCGGUAUCCGGCCGGCAAAUGGUUGGACCGC